rnacentral:rRNA from 1 species
AUGCUUGCAUUAGCGUUCAUGAUAUUUUUUGCAGAAAAUAUUAUACAUGUAUUCAAAUUGUUUUUGGUAGUUUUCUUUAUUACUUCCACUGUUCAAAUAAUUUUGGAUGACAUCUACAGCAGGCCGUUUUUCAUCGACGCCCCUCAUUUGCUUGGUAGCUCCACAUCAAAAAUUUCAAUUCACACCUCGAAUAUUUAUUUCCUUGCUGUCUGUUAUCGGCAUCUUUUUUUUUGUGUAUGUGUGGAAACCUGGUUGAUGCAAGAAAGUGAAAAGAGGGCCAGUACUGAUGUUUUUGUAUGCAUAAUAUGUGCACGUGCAUUCGCCCCUUCUAUAUAUACACAUGAUUCAAAAGCAUGUUUUACUGUACAUUUUGUUCCUUUGCUUGGUACAAAAUGUAUUGCAAGUGUUAUUCAUUGUUUUUUCCUUGACUAA